rnacentral:rRNA from 1 species
AGAGUUUGAUCCUGGCUCAGAUUGAACGCUGGCGGCGUGCUUAACACAUGCAAGUCGUGCGAGAAAGGGGACUUCGGUCCCUGAGUAGAGCGGCGCACGGGUGAGUAACGCGUGGAUAAUCUACCCAGAUGUUCGGGAUAACGGUGGGAAACUGCCGCUAAUACCGGAUACGAUCCAAUUUCGGUUGGAUGAAAGGCGGCCUCUGCUUGCAAGCUGUCGCAUCUGGAUGAGUCCGCGUCCCAUUAGCUUGUUGGUGGGGUAAUGGCCUACCAAGGCUACGAUGGGUAACUGGUCUGAGAGGAUGAUCAGUCACACUGGAACUGAAACACGGUCCAGACUCCUACGGGAGGCAGCAGUGGGGAAUAUUGCGCAAUGGGGGAAACCCUGACGCAGCGACGCCGUGUGAGGGAAGAAGGCUUUCGGG